GACGAACGCUGGCGGCGUGCUUAACACAUGCAAGUCGAACGGUGAAGCGCCUUCCUUUUUGGUGGGUGUGGAUGAGUGGCGAACGGGUGAGUAACACGUGAGUAACCUGCCCCCUUCUUCUGGAUAACCGCAUGAAAGUGUGGCUAAUACGGGAUAUUCUGGGUCUGUCGCAUGAUGGGUCUGGGAAAGAUAUUGUUUCGGUGGGGGAUGGGCUCGCGGCCUAUCAGCUUGUUGGUGGGGUGAUGGCCUACCAAGGCGGUGACGGGUAGCCGGCCUGAGAGGGUGGGCGGUCACACUGGGACUGCGACACGGCCCAGACUCCGACGGGAGGCAGCAGUGGGGAAUAUUGCACAAUGGGCGCAAGCCUGAUGCAGCGACGCCGCGGGAGGGAUGGAGGCCUUCGGGUUGUGAACCUCUUUCGCCAGUGAAGCAGGCCUGCCUCGUUUGUGGGUGGGUUGACGGUAGCUGGAUAAGAAGCGCCGGCUAACUACGUG
rnacentral:rRNA from 1 species